rnacentral:rRNA from 1 species
AGCAGCCGCGGUAAUUCCAGCUCCAAUAGCGUAUAUUAAAGUUGUUGCAGUUAAAAAAGCUCGUAGUUGAAUUUCGGGAUUAGUACGCUGGUCGUGCCUUCGGUAUGUACUGGUGUUACUGGUUCCUACCUUCUGACGAACUGUCAUGUCAUUAAUUUGGUGUGGCGGGGAAUCAGGACUGUUACUUUAGAAAAAUUAGAGUGUUUAAAGCAGGCUCGCGCUUGAAUACAUUAGCAUGGAAUAAUGAAAUAGGACGUUCGAUCCUAUUUUGUUGGUUUUCUAGGAUUGACGUAAUGAUUAAUAGGGAUAGUUGGGGGCAUUAGUAUUCAAUUGUCAGAGGUGAAAAUUCUUGGAUUUAUUGAAGACUAACUACUGCGAAAGCAUUUGCCAAGGAUGUUUUCAUUAAUCAAGAACGAAAGUUAGGGGAUCGAAGACGAUCAGAUACCGUCG